rnacentral:tRNA from 1 species
GCCGAUGUAGCUCAGCUGGUAGAGCAGCUGAUUUGUAAUCAGCGGGUCGGGGGUUCGAGUCCCUUCAUCGGCUCCA